rnacentral:misc_RNA from 1 species
GUGAAGAACGUAGUGAAAUGCGAUACUUGGUGUGAAUUGCAGAAUCCCGUGAAUCAUCGAGUCUUUGAACGCAAGUUGCGCCCGAAGCCAUUAGGCCGAGGGCACGCCUGCCUGGGUGUCACACACCGUUACCCUCGCGCCAACGUCCAUCGUUGGCCGCGGCGCGGGGCGUGCGCUGACCUCCCGCGAGCGGGGUCUCGUGGUUGGUUGAAAAUCGAGUUCGCGGUCGAGGGUGCCGUGAUGAAAUGGUGGAUGGGCGACGCCCGAGGCCAAUCACGCGCGACUCUGUCCGGCUCGGACUCCUGGACCCCUUCGGCGUCUCCGGACGCUCUUUGGCGAGACCUCAGGUCAGGCGGGGCUACCCGCUGAGUUUAAGCAUAUCAAUAAGCGGAGGA